rnacentral:rRNA from 1 species
UACGGAGGGUGCGAGCGUUGUCCGGAAUCACUGGGCGUAAAGGGCGCGUAGGUGGCGCGAGGAGUCUGUGGUGAAAGCCCGAGGCUCAACUUCGGGUCGGCCGCGGAUACUCUCGUGCUGGAGGGUGGUAGAGGCCAAUGGAAUUCCGGGUGUAGCGGUGGAAUGCGUAGAGAUCCGGAAGAACACCGGUGGCGAAGGCGGCCUGCUGGGCAGUUUGCUGACACUGAGGCGCGACAGCGUGGGGAGCAAACAGG